UACGUAGGGUGCGAGCGUUAAUCGGAAUUACUGGGCGUAAAGCGUGCGUAGGCGGUUCGCUGUGUCCGAUGUGAAAGCCCCGGGCUUAACCUGGGAAUGGCAUUGGAAACUGGCGGGCUUGAGUGCGGCAGAGGGGGGUGGAAUUCCGCGUGUAGCAGUGAAAUGCGUAGAGAUGCGGAGGAACACCGAUGGCGAAGGCAGCCCCCUGGGUCGUCACUGACGCUCAGGCACGAAAGCGUGGGGAGCAAACAGG
rnacentral:rRNA from 1 species